AUGCCCUCUGCUCCCUGCCCUCUGCUCCCUGCUCCUUGCCCUCUGCUCCCUGCUCCCUGCUCCCUGCCCUCUGCUCCCUGCCCUCUGCUCCCUGCUCCCUGCCCUCUGCUCCCUGCCCUCUGCUCCUUUCCCUCUGCUCCUUUCCCUCUGCUACCUGCCCCCUCCCUCUGCUCCUUUCCCUCUGCUCCUUUCCGUCUGCUACCUGCUCCCUGCCCUCUGCUCCUUUCCCUCUGCUCCUUUCCCUCUGCUACUUGCUCCCUGCCCACUGCUCCCUGCCCUCUGCUCCUUUCCCUCUGCUACCUGCUCCCUGCUCCCUGCCCUCUGCUCCUUGCCCUCUGCUCCCUGCUCCCUGUCCUCUGCUCCCUGCCCUCUGCUCCCUGCCCUCUGCUCCCUGCCCUCUGCCCCUUUCCCUCUGCUACCUGCUCCCUGCCUUCUGCUCCCUGCCCUCUGCUCCUUGCCCUCUGCUACCUGCUCCCUGCCCUCUGCUCCUUGCUCCCUGCCCUCUGCUCCUUGCCCUCUGCUACCUGCUCCCUGCCCUCUGCUCCCUGCCCUCUGCUCCUUGCCCUCUGCUACCUGCUCCCUGCCCUCUGCUCCCUGCUCCCUGCUCCCUGUCCUCUGCUCCUUGCCCUCUGCUACCUGCUCCCUGCCCUCUGCUCCCUGCCCUCUGCUCCUUGCCCUCUGCUACCUGCUCCCUGCCCUCUGCUACCUGCUCGCUGCCCUCUGCUCCUUGCCCUCUGCUACCUGCUCCCUGCCCUCUGCUCCCUGCUCCCUGCCCUCUGCUCCUUGCCCUCUGCUACCUGCUCCCUGCCCUCUGCUCCCUGCCCUCUGCUCCUUGCCCUCUGCUACCUGCUCCUUGCCCUCUGCUACCUGCUCCCUGCCCUCUGCUCCCUGCCCUCUGCUACCUGCUCCCUGCCCUCUGCUCCUUGCCCUCUGCUCCCCGCUCCCUGCCCUCUGCUCCUUGCCCUCUGCUCCCUGCCCUCUGCUCUCUGCUCCCUGCCCUCUGCUCCCUGCUCCCUGCCCUCUGCUCUCUGUAAACAUGUACAGUAUUUAUUUUCAGAUGAUUUUCUAUGA
rnacentral:lncRNA from 1 species